UCAAAAUGAACAAGUCUUCAAUACUGUUAGCGCUAAGAAAAUACUUCCAUUGAUCCUACAAAAACAGAUGCCAACAAUAACGACUUGUUAGGUUUAAAUGUGUUUUAUGAAUUUGUUUCAAUCUUAAUCAUCAAUUUCUUCGUCUGUUGUGAAAUAAGCCCCGCCCCCUUCUUACCUAAUAAGGAAUAUAAAGGGACGUUACUCCACUACUAACCGUGUAUGAGAUAAGCCCCGCCUCCCUACUAACCUAAUAUCAAAUAUACACGGUUUGCACGUGGACGCUUUUAACCAAUCAUA
rnacentral:lncRNA from 1 species